rnacentral:rRNA from 1 species
AGUGAAUAGAUACCCGGGUAGUCCACGCCCUAAACGAUGUCAACUAGGUGUUGGGUGGGUAAAACCAUUUAGUACCGUAGCUAAACGCGUGAAAGUUGACCGCCUGGGGAGUACGGCCGCAAGGUUAAAACUCAAAGGAAUUGACGGGGACCCGCACAAGCGGUGGAUGAUGUGGAUUAAUUCGAUGCAACGCGAAAAACCUUACCUACCCUUGACAUGCCAGGAACUUGCCAGAGAUGGCUUGGUGCCCGAAAGGGAGCCUGGACACAGGUGCUGCAUGGCUGUCGUCAGCUCGUGUCGUGAGAUGUUGGGUUAAGUCCCGCAACGAGCGCAACCCUUGUCGUUAAUUGCCAUCAUUUGGUUGGGCACUUUAACGAGACUGCCGGUGACAAACCGGAGGAAGGUGGGGAUGACGUCAAGUCCUCAUGGCCCUUAUGGGUAGGGCUUCACACGUCAUACAAUGGUCGGUACAGAGGGUUGCCAAGCCGCGAGGCGGAGCCAAUCCCAGAAAGCCGAUCGUAGUCCGGAUUGCAGGCUGCAACUCGCCUGC